CAUCUUCAGCACGAAUGCCCAUUCAUCCAUGGGUGGGGAUUUGUUGCAUUACUUGUAUUAUAUGUAAAGUAUUGCACUUGUCCCGGCCUGUGGAAGAAAGGAGGAUUUUACCGCCUUCCUA
rnacentral:pre_miRNA from 13 species